rnacentral:rRNA from 1 species
UAGGGAAUCUUCGGCAAUGGACGAAAGUCUGACCGAGCAACGCCGCGUGAGUGAAGAAGGUUUUCGGAUCGUAAAACUCUGUUGUUAGAUAAGAACAAGGACGUUAGUAACUGAACGUCCCCUGACGGUAUCUAACCAGAAAGCCACGGCUAACUACGUGCCAGCAGCCGCGGUAAUACGUAGGUGGCAAGCGUUGUCCGGAUUUAUUGGGCGUAAAGCGAGCGCAGGCGGUUUCUUAAGUCUGAUGUGAAAGCCCCCGGCUCAACCGGGGAGGGUCAUUGGAAACUGGGAGACUUGAGUGCAGAAGAGGAGAGUGGAAUUCCAUGUGUAGCGGUGAAAUGCGUAGAUAUAUGGAGGAACACCAGUGGCGAAGGCGGCUCUCUGGUCUGUAACUGACGCUGAGGCUCGAAAGCGUGGGGAGCAAACAGG